rnacentral:sRNA from 1 species
AUGUACCACUCGUACACUCCGGUUCCUCCGCGCUGUCCACACCCACCUGAAAACCGCUCGCCACGUUUUGUUGGCC